CUCUAGAAUAUGCUUGUUCUAAUCAAGAUGAUGUCAAACUGUAAUAGAUUUUACUUAGUUGCUUGCCAUUUUCCUCGUUUGUCUUUUAAAUACCAACUUGACCAACCUGAUCAAGUCAGUGGGCAGUGUUAAGGUUUCUAUGCAGAAGAUGGGGAACACCAAGAGGGCUGCAGAAUGAAAACCAAAGUCCUCCCUGAAAUUUGCUACUUGCUCGUAACUCACAGAAAGACAAAAAUUACAAAUAAAACAUUAAAAAUAAAAAUCAAGAGAGACUCGUGAAACCAACACAAGACAAAACCCUCACCGGGCAAAAGCUGCAACUUCAUGGAAAAUAAGUUGGAGGUGGGGGGGACGAGGGGGGUCCGGAGCUGAGCGGGGCUCUUGUGCAAUCACUCCAAGGCGAACAGCUGGAGCGCCAAGCUGCCGCGCUCGCCACCUCUGGAGCACCGCUGGCCUGGCGGGGAGCCCGGCCUCGCCAACACGACUCCGGGCCGGCCUUUCCGAACAAUGGGCAGGCGCUCUGCGAAGGCCGCCCCUCAGACAGCUAUCUUUUCAGCAGGGCUUGCCCGGGUCUGCUUAAACUGGGAAGUGAAGCAUGCAAAGGCUGAGAGGGAGGCGGAGGCAACCGAGAGGAGCAAGCAGGGACAGGCGAGGCGAGCCGGCCGUCAAAAACGGAGACCGAGGCUGAGCUCAAGAUCACACUAGGAAAUGACUGAUCCAGAAAAACGUCUUCAGUUGGCCAACUUCCAGACAGAAAAAUUGUCUCCAACGUGCUGUUGAGCCAUAAGUUAUGUCUUUAUUACAUCCCAGAGGGAAGAAGUUGAGUGGAAAAGAUUCCACAGUUUAACUAUGAGAGGACGUUACACAUUUCAGUGGAAGAAAAAAAUUUUCAUCAAAAGCUAAGUAGAUAAAUUAAAGAUGCUAUAAUAAGUCUUGGGAUAUAGGCUGUGCAUUUGUUUUGCUUUGUUUUUAAAAUCAAUUAAAGAUACUAAAUCUGUAUACCAGAUGCUGAAGUAGGACUCACUCAACUCAGUUUUGCCUUUCCCAUCUGAAGUCAGUCAGUCUUUAGGGUAGCUGAUUGCUUUUGGAGUCUGGAGGUGAGGGAGAGCUGGCAGGGACAGACGGAAGAGAAGAGAGAAGAUCCAGGGACAGUGACUGCAGACUCCCUGAGGAAGUCUCGGGAUGUACAAUAUGGGAAAGUGCCAAAAUCCUAAGCUAGAAAACAAAGCAAAACCAAACCAAACCCCAGCAUGGGGAAAUAAAAGGAAGUUCUACACUGAACAGAGUGCACAGAAGCAUCUCUUUAUGUGAAGAGCAGUAGAGUUUUGUGGCCUGAACACACAAUUACAUAGAAUUUAGUAAUACAAAAGCUACUAUUUAUUGAAUGCUUUUUAACAAAUAGGACUUUAAUAAGUAGUACUGUGCUUAAUAUCUUACAGAGAUUAUUUUAUUCGAUCCUCACACAGUUGACACAAUUAUAGACUGUGUUCCAUUUUGCAGAUGAGGAAAUGGAAACAUUAAUCAGUUGCCUACUAAGUGGGCCAACAAUCUGACUGGAAUCUAGAAUUCUUCCUCCCCCUUGCAAUAUCAAUGGUUUUGAUGAGGGUUCUUGCUUGCAAGCAACAAAAUGAACUCUGGUUAUCUAAAGGAAACAAAAAUGUUGAAGGAAAGGGGGCUCAUAGACUCUGAGAGGCUGGAAGAACAGGCUUAGGAAACAAGGAAGAACCCAGGGCCUAAGGAGGCCAGGCCAUAGGAACACUCUAUCCAAGAUGACACCAUCUCUGCUUCUGCUGCACCACACCUUCUAGAAAUGACUACUGGACAUCAUGCU
ensembl:lncRNA